AUCUUGCGCAAUGGGCGAAAGCCUGACGCAGCGACGCCGCGUGUGCGAUGAAGGUCUUCGGAUCGUAAAGCACUGUCGCGAGGGAAGAAACCUGACGGUACCUCGAGAGGAAGCACCGGCUAACUCUGUGCCAGCAGCCGCGGUAAUACAGAGGGUGCGAGCGUUGUUCGGAAUUAUUGGGCGUAAAGCGCGAGUAGGCGGCUUGUUAAGUCGCGUGUGAAAGCUCCCGGCUCAACCGGGAAAGUGCGCGCGAAACUGGCGAGCUUGAGUGCUGGAGAGGGUGGCGGAAUUCCUGGUGUAGAGGUGAAAUUCGUAGAUAUCGGGAGGAACACCAGAGGCGAAGGCGGCCACCUGGAAAGACACUGACGCUGAGAAGCGAAAGCGUGGGGAGCAAACAGG
rnacentral:rRNA from 1 species